rnacentral:ncRNA from 1 species
AAAGGGGAUUGCUGAAAACCUUUCAAUCGAGUAGGCA